GUGCAGCAGCCGCGGUAACACGGUGGGCGCGAGCGUUAUUCGGAAUUAUUGGGCGUAAAGGGCGCGCAGGCGGUCUUGUCCGUCAGGUGUGAAAGCUCGGGGCUCAACCCCGGAAGUGCACUUGAAACAGCAAGACUUGAAUGCAGGAGGGGUAAGCGGAAUUCCAGGUGUAGAGGUGAAAUUCGUAGAUAUCAGGAGGAACACCGAUGGCGAAGGCAUCUCUCUGGGCCGAUAUUGACGCUGAGGCGCGAAGGCGUGGGUAGCGAACGGGAUUAGAUA
rnacentral:rRNA from 1 species